GAUGAACGCUGGCGGCAUGCCUUACACAUGCAAGUCGAACGGCAGUGGACCUUCGGGUGCCGGCGAGUGGCGAACGGGUGAGUAAUGCAUCGGAAUGUACCUUUCAGUGGGGGAUAACGUAGCGAAAGUUACGCUAAUACCGCAUAUUCUGUGAGCAGGAAAGCAGGGGAUCGCAAGACCUUGCGCUGAUUGAGCGGCCGAUGUCAGAUUAGCUAGUUGGUGAGGUAAAGGCUCACCAAGGCGACGAUCUGUAGCGGGUCUGAGAGGAUGAUCCGCCACACUGGAACUGAAACACGGUCCAGACUCCUACGGGAGGCAGCAGUGGGGAAUUUUGGACAAUGGGGGCAACCCUGAUCCAGCGAUGCCGCGUGAGUGAAGAAGGCCUUCGGGUUGUAAAGCUCUUUCGGCCGGGAAGAAAUCGCACGGGCUAAUACCCUGUGUGGAUGACGGUACCGGAAUAAGAAGCACCGGCUAACUACGUGCCAGCCGCCGCCGUAAAAC
rnacentral:rRNA from 1 species